AGUUGGGGGGUGGAAAGCUUUUGCGGUUUUGGAUGGACUCGCGGCCUAUCAGCUUGUUGGUGAGGUAAUGGCUUACCAAGGCGACGACGGGUAGCCGGCCUGAGAGGGUGACCGGCCACACUGGGACUGAGACACGGCCCAGACUCCUACGGGAGGCAGCAGUGGGGAAUAUUGCACAAUGGGCGCAAGCCUGAUGCAGCGACGCCGCGUGAGGGAUGACGGCCUUCGGGUUGUAAACCUCUUUCAGUAGGGAAGAAGCGAAAGUGACGGUACCUGCAGAAGAAGCGCCGGCUAACUACGUGCCCAGCAGCCGCGGUAAUACGUAGGGCGCAAGCGUUAUCCGGGAAUUAUUGGGCGUAAAGAGCUCGUAGGCCGGUUUGUCGCGUCUGCCGUGAAAGUCCGGGGCUCAACUCCGGAUCUGCGGUGGGUACGGGCAGACUAGAGUGAUGUAGGGGAGACUGGAAUUCCUGGUGUAGCGGUGAAAUGCGCAGAUAUCAGGAGGAACACCGAUGGCGAAGGCAGGUCUCUGGGCAUUAACUGACGCUGAGGAGCGAAAGCAUGGGGAGCGAACAGGAUUAGAUACCCUGGUAGUCCAUGCCGUAAACGUUGGGCACUAGGUGUGGGGGACAUUCCACGUUUUCCGCGCCGUAGCUAACGCAUUAAGUGCCCCGCCUGGGGAGUACGGCCGCAAGGCUAAAACUCAAAGGAAUUGACGGGGGCCCGCACAAGCGGCGGAGCAUGCGGAUUAAUUCGAUGCAACGCGAAGAACCUUACCAAGGCUUGACAUGGACCGGACCGCCGCAGAAAUGUGGUUUCUCCUUUUGGGGCCGGUUCACAGGUGGUGCAUGGUUGUCGUCAGCUCGUGUCGUGAGAUGUUGGGUUAAGUCCCGCAACGAGCGCAACCCUCGUUCCAUGUUGCCAGCACGUGAUGGUGGGGACUCAUGGGAGACUGCCGGGGUCAACUCGGAGGAAGGUGGGGACGACGUCAAAUCAUCAUGCCCCUUAUGUCUUGGGCUUCACGCAUGCUACAAUGGCCGGUACAAAGGGUUGCGAUACUGUGAGGUGGAGAUAAUCCCAAAAAGUUGGUUUCAGUUCGGAUU
rnacentral:rRNA from 1 species